rnacentral:rRNA from 1 species
AGUGAACGCUGGCGGUAGGCCUAACACAUGCAAGUCGAACGGCAGCACAGUAAGAGCUUGCUCUUACGGGUGGCGAGUGGCGGACGGGUGAGGAAUACAUCGGAAUCUACUUUUUCGUGGGGGAUAACGUAGGGAAACUUACGCUAAUACCGCAUACGACCUACGGUUGAAAGCAGGGGAUCUUCGGACCUUGCGCGAUUGAAUGAGCCGAUGUCGGAUUAGCUAGUUGGCGGGGUAAAGGCCCACCAAGGCGACGAUCCGUAGCUGGUCUGAGAGGAUGAUCCGCCACUCUGGAACUGAGACACGGUCCAGACUCCUACGGGAGGCAGCAGUGGGGAAUAGUGGCAAAUGGGCGCAAGCCUGAUCCAGCCAUACCGCGUGGGUGAAGAAGGCCUUCGGGUGGUAAAGCCCUUUUGUUGGGAAAGAAAAGCAGCAGGUUAAUACCCCGCUGUUCUGACGGUACCCAAAGAAUAAGCACCGGCUAACUUCGU